rnacentral:rRNA from 1 species
UACGAAGGGGGCUAGCGUUGCUCGGAAUCACUGGGCGUAAAGCGCACGUAGGCGGCUUUCUAAGUCAGGGGUGAAAUCCUGGAGCUCAACUCCAGAACUGCCUUUGAUACUGGAGAGCUUGAGUCCGGAAGAGGUGAGUGGAACUCCGAGUGUAGAGGUGAAAAUUCGUAGAUAUUCGGAAGAACACCAGUGGCGAAAGGCGGCUCACUGGUCCGGUACUGACGCUGAUGUGCGAAAGCGUGGGGAGCAAACAGG